rfam:Ashbya gossypii ATCC 10895 chromosome IV, complete sequence.
GCUUCAGUAGCUCAGUCGGAAGAGCGUCAGUCUCAUAAUCUGAAGGUCGAGAGUUCGAACCUCCCCUGGAGCA